rnacentral:rRNA from 1 species
CCCUUAGAUGUCCUGGGCCGCACGCGCGCUACACUGAGUGUCUGAGAUACGAGUCUGCCUGGUCCGGCAAGGUCUAGGUAAUCGCUAAAAGACACAUCAUGCUUGGGAUAGAUUAUUGCAAAUAUUAAUUUUGAACGAGGAAUUCCUAGUAAGCGCAAGUCAACAGCUUGCGUUGAUUACGUCCCUGCCCUUUGUACACACCGCCCGUCGCUACUACUGAUUGGAUGUUUAAGCGAGGUUCUCGAACUGCUAGCGACUUAGCUUCGGUGAGGUCGCAGUGUGGGAAGUGAACCUAGCUUUGGUGUCUAGAGGAAGUAAAAGUCGUAACA